AGUAAAGACAACUGGAUCUGAAGCGUAAUGAUGGUCUUCAGAAGGUCUUGAUUCAGAGGUUUGAGAAGACUACCAAUCACCAGAGCCAGCUAACAGGUGGACCAAACAUCAAGCCAGAAUUCUGCAUGAGUCAGAAUUUAUGUCUUUUGAUAUUAUUGCCUAAUGCAACAAAUGGAAAAAAGCAUACUUUAUGACAACCUUAGCAGCAGAACACCAUGACUUUCUCCUGGGUAGACGAGAAAAAAAGUUUGGUAUCAACACCCAUCUAACAAUUAAGAAAGUUAUCUACAGCCACACAUCCACUGUAUACCAAGUUAUGAUGAUCAAUUAUGAGAAUGCAAAAUGAUUUAUAGAUCAGUAAACAAUCAACAAAAAGGUAAUGUCUUAAUUAAUAUAUUUCUGCUUUUGUUACUUAUUCAUGUAUUUGAAUUACAUCAUUCAAAAUCAAAUGUUAAUAAUUAUAGGGUUUCAACUUGUUGCAGCUUUACAAAAAAUGUAGAAUUUGUAGGAGCAUGGACAACUGAGUAACAAAGUCAUAUUAUGCAGAUGGGUGCUCAUGGUGGCCUCCAAAUAAAUACAUGGACAGGCUGCUAAAGAGGGUCAGGAUGAUGGAGAUGCAAGAGCCAAAGACAGCACGGACCAAACACCAGGCCAGAAUUCUGCAUGAGUCAGUUUCCAGCCUUUUUCACAAAGUUGCCGACAACUGGAAGAAUGUCCCAAAUUGCUGAAAAAAGAAAUUCAAUUGAGUAAUUUUCACUCUAGAGACCCUGGGGUGACCAACAAGGACGAAUGAAAACUCCAGUGAGUGUCUCUAAGGUAGAUCCUAAUGCAGAUGGAUGGAAUGUUGAUCCGCCUAACAUGCAAGAUUUUCUGCACCGAGAACUUUGGAUGACCAUCAAGACAAGCACUCGUUUUGAGUCCUGAGACCCUGGGGUGACCACCGUGAACAAAUACAGACUGCAAAAAGGCAGUCUUGACGGUUCUAGGAUGAAUGCAAAUAAAGACUGACCACCUGACUUCAGCGGUCCAGUCUCUUGUGGGAAGCAGGUGUUUGUUACCCCAAAUACGGAUGAAGAGUGACGAAGAGGAUGAUGACUUUUUUCUCAAACAUCAUCUGAAGAUCUUGACAGGCUGGAGACAAAAUUAACAGACUGAGGGUUUAUACAAAGAAUCUUACUCAGCCAAUAUUAAAGAUAAGAUAUUUUUACAAAA